rnacentral:sRNA from 26 species
AUCGAGCUGCGUUAGGGAUAGUAGCGAAAAUCCUUUUUAGAGGCUUUUCGCCGAUAAAAAGAUUGUAGCGAAUAGCCCGACCCUUG